GAAGAUUUUUUGCAGAUGUCUACAAAUUUGAAUUAGUUUCAGUUCUUCCAUUGAACCAUGAAUUAUGAGAAUAAUUAGUAUUAUGUAGUGUGCCUCACCAAAGUCAAAUAUGGAGACGGCUUUGAGUAACAACAAUAAGGAAUCCUUUUCACUUCUUAGUUUCAUAUUUAACUCAAGCAACGGUUGAACAAUUCUUCCAAGGCAUCAUUUCAUCAAGAUCCUAUAUUGUGACAUCCUACAAUAACCAACUCAUAAUGCUCCAACAACUAACAAGGAAAGGGAUCAAGGAGGAAGAAAAGAUUUUAAGUCUACCCACGGAUGGUUCAAAGCAAAUUGAAACUUCUAUUCCCCUCUUAUAAUUCAAGGAGAGAAUCUGAAGAACAAAUAUGAUCGGGAGCAAUGAAAGAAUGAUCUGAAGACCACCAUUGGAUCAUUCAAAAUCAUCAUUUGUUCCCACUAAUACUUAAUUAUAUGUUAGAAGGCAUAUUUUAAUUCGAAAUAAUGAAUAGAUUAUUUAAAAAAAAAACA
rnacentral:lncRNA from 1 species